rnacentral:rRNA from 1 species
AUGAACGCUGGCGGCGUGCCUAAUACAUGCAAGUCGAGCGAACAGACGAGGAGCUUGCUCCUCUGACGUUAGCGGCGGACGGGUGAGUAACACGUGGAUAACCUACCUAUAAGACUGGGAUAACUUCGGGAAACCGGAGCUAAUACCGGAUAAUAUAUUGAAUCGCAUGGUUCAAUAGUGAAAGACGGUUUUGCUGUCACUUAUAGAUGGAUCCGCGCCGCAUUAGCUAGUUGGUAAGGUAACGGCUUACCAAGGCAACGAUGCGUAGCCGACCUGAGAGGGUGAUCGGCCACACUGGAACUGAGACACGGUCCAGACUCCUACGGGAGGCAGCAGUAGGGAAUCUUCCGCAAUGGGCGAAAGCCUGACGGAGCAACGCCGCGUGAGUGAUGAAGGUCUUCGGAUCGUAAAACUCUGUUAUUAGGGAAGAACAAAUGUGUAAGUAACUAUGCACGUCUUGACGGUACCUAAUCAGAAAGCCACGGCUAACUACGUG